ACGGGUGAGUAAUGCUUAGGAAUCUGCCUAUUAGUGGGGGACAACAUCUCGAAAGGGAUGCUAAUACCGCAUACGUCCUACGGGAGAAAGCAGGGGAUCUUCGGACCUUGCGCUAAUAGAUGAGCCUAAGUCGGAUUAGCUAGUUGGUGGGGUAAAGGCCUACCAAGGCGACGAUCUGUAGCGGGUCUGAGAGGAUGAUCCGCCACACUGGGACUGAGACACGGCCCAGACUCCUACGGGAGGCAGCAGUGGGGAAUAUUGGACAAUGGGGGGAACCCUGAUCCAGCCAUGCCGCGUGUGUGAAGAAGGCCUUUUGGUUGUAAAGCACUUUAAGCGAGGAGGAGGAGCUCUUGGUUAAUACCCAAGAUGCUUGGACGUUACUCGCAGAAUAAGCACCGGCUAACUCUGUGCCAGCAGCCGCGGUAAUACAGAGGGUGCAAGCGUUAAUCGGAUUUACUGGGCGUAAAGCGCGCGUAGGUGGCCAAUUAAGUCAAAUGUGAAAUCCCCGAGCUUAACUUGGGAAUUGCAUUCGAUACUGGUUGGCUAGAGUAUGGGAGAGGAUGGUAGAAUUCCAGGUGUAGCGGUGAAAUGCGUAGAGAUCUGGAGGAAUACCGAUGGCGAAGGCAGCCAUCUGGCCUAAUACUGACACUG
rnacentral:rRNA from 1 species